rnacentral:rRNA from 1 species
AUGCAAGUCGAACGAUGAACCUCCUUCGGGAGGGGAUUAGUGGCGAACGGGUGAGUAACACGUGGGCAAUCUGCCCUGCACUCUGGGACAAGCCCUGGAAACGGGGUCUAAUACCGGAUACUGAUCAUCUUGGGCAUCCUUGGUGAUCGAAAGCUCCGGCGGUGCAGGAUGAGCCCGCGGCCUAUCAGCUUGUUGGUGAGGUAAUGGCUCACCAAGGCGACGACGGGUAGCCGGCCUGAGAGGGCGACCGGCCACACUGGGACUGAGACACGGCCCAGACUCCUACGGGAGGCAGCAGUGGGGAAUAUUGCACAAUGGGCGAAAGCCUGAUGCAGCGACGCCGCGUGAGGGAUGACGGCCUUCGGGUUGUAAACCUCUUUCAGCAGGGAAGAAGCGAAAGUGACGGUACCUGCAGAAGAAGCGCCGGCUAACUACGUGCCAGCAGCCGCGGUAAUACGUAGGGCGCGAGCGUUGUCCGGAAUUAUUGGGCGUAAAGAGCUCGUAGGCGGCUUGUCGCGUCGGUUGUGAAAGCCCGGGGCUUAACCCCGGGUCUGCAGUCGAUACGGGCAGGCUAGAGUUCGGUAGGGGAGAUCGGAAUUCCUGGUGUAGCGGUGAAAUGCGCAGAUAUCACGAGGAACACCGGUGGCGAAGGCGGAUCUCUGGGCCGAUACUGACGCUGAGGAGCGAAAGCGUGGGGAGCGAACAGGAUUAGAUACCCUGGUAGUCCACGCCGUAAACGGUGGGCACUAGGUGUGGGCGACAUUCCACGUCGUCCGUGCCGCAGCUAACGCAUUAAGUGCCCCGCCUGGGGAGUACGGCCGCAAGGCUAAAACUCAUAGGAAUUGACGGGGGCCCGCACAAGCGGCGGAGCAUGUGGCUUAAUUCGACGCAACGCGAAGAACCUUACCAAGGCUUGACAUACACCGGAAAACCCUGGAGACAGGGUCCCCCUCGUGGGUCGG